UCCGGCGUGGUGUAACGGCAGCACGAGGGCUUUUGGUGCCUUGAGUCAGGGUUCGAAUCCUUGCGCCGGAG
rnacentral:tRNA from 1 species